UUCCUGUGCAUAAGAAAAAAAGGGAGCAUGAAGAUCAGUGACCCUCUCUCUCUUGGUUGGCCAAAUAAGAGAGAGAAGCCUAGUGAUCCUAGGCUCAGGUGGUCUUCUUUAAUUGGGUCCAAUUUGGGUUCAGACUAAAUGCAAUUUUAGUCUGAUUCGAAUCCAAUUCGAAAAGGCUAUCAACUCUGAUCUAAUCAGGAUUGUAAUCUAAGUCCUACUUGGAUAAUUAAACC
rnacentral:lncRNA from 1 species